rnacentral:rRNA from 1 species
GCGGCGGGCUUAACACAUGCAAGUCGAACGAGAAUCCCUUCGGGGAGGAAAGUGGCGCACGGGUGCGUAACACGUGGAUGACCUACCCCUUGGUUCGGGACAACAGCGGGAAACUGCUGCUAAUACCGGAUGUGUCGUAGCAAUACGAGAAAGGCCCGCAAGGGUCGCCAGAGGACGGGUCCGCGUCCCAUCAGCUAGUUGGUGAGGUAAUGGCUCACCAAGGCGAAGACGGGUAGCUGGUCUGAGAGGAUGAUCAGCCACACUGGAACUGAGACACGGUCCAGACUCCUACGGGAGGCAGCAGUGGGGAAUAUUGCGCAAUGGGCGAAAGCCUGACGCAGCCACGCCGCGUGAGCGAUGAAGGUCUUCGGAUCGUAAAGCUCUGUGGGGGGAGAAGAAGAAGUCGGUGAAGAGCCGGCCCUGACGGUAUCCCCUUAGCAAGCACCGGCUAACUCGUGCCAGCAGCCGCGGUAAUACGGAGGUGCAAACGUUGCUCGGAAUCAUU